CCUAUGGGGGGCAGCAGUGGGGAAUAUUGGACAAUGGGGGGAACCCUGAUCCAGCCAUGCCGCGUGUGUGAAGAAGGCCCUCGGGUUGUAAAGCACUUUCAGUGAGGAAGAACGCCUGGUGGUUAAUACCCAUCAGGAAAGACAUCACUCACAGAAGAAGCACCGGCUAACUCCGUGCCAGCAGCCGCGGUAAUACGGAGGGUGCGAGCGUUAAUCGGAAUUACUGGGCGUAAAGCGCGCGUAGGUGGCUUGAUAAGCCGGUUGUGAAAGCCCCGGGCUCAACCUGGGAACGGCAUCCGGAACUGUCAAGCUAGAGUGCAGGAGAGGAAGGUAGAAUUCCCGGUGUAGCGGUGAAAUGCGUAGAGAUCGGGAGGAAUACCAGUGGCGAAGGCGGCCUUCUGGACUGACACUGACACUGAGGUGCGAAAGCGUGGGUAGCAAACAGGAUUAGAUACCCUGGUAGUC
rnacentral:rRNA from 1 species